AGCUUUUCAAAUCCAUGCAGAAAUUUUGUCAGACGUCAACCCAUUAGGUCUGAUCAGACUCUCAAGGUAGAUGAAGUU
rfam:Schistosoma curassoni strain Dakar, Senegal genome assembly, scaffold: SCTD_contig0000159